UCCGGUUUGUCACCGGCAGUCUCCCAUGAGUCCCCAACUUAAUGCUGGCAACUAAAGAUAGGGGUUGCGCUCGUUGCGAGACUUAACCCAACAUUUCACAACACGAGCUGACGACAGCCAUGCACCACCUGUGACCGUGCCCCGAAGGGAGGGUGUGUUUCCACACCUGUCACGGACAUGUCAAGCCCAGGUAAGGUUCUUCGCGUUGCGUCGAAUUAAACCACAUGCUCCGCUGCUUGUGCGGGCCCCCGUCAAUUCCUUUGAGUUUUAGCCUUGCGGCCGUACUCCCCAGGCGGGGCGCUUAAUGCGUUAGCUACGGCACGGAUCCCGUGGAAGGAAACCCACACCUAGCGCCCACCGUUUACGGCGUGGACUAC
rnacentral:misc_RNA from 1 species